rnacentral:rRNA from 1 species
GAGUUUGAUCAUGGCUCAGAACGAACGGUGGCGGCAGGCCUAACACAUGCAAGUCGAGCGAGACCUUCGGGUCUAGCGGCGGACGGGUUAGUAACGCGUGGGAACGUACCCUUUUCUACGGAAUAGCCUUUGGAAACGAAGAGUAAUACUGUAUACGCCCUUUGGGGGAAAGAUUUAUCGGAGAAGGAUCGGCCCGCGUUAGAUUAGAUAGUUGGUGGGGUAAUGGCCUACCAAGUCUACGAUCUAUAGCUGGUUUUAGAGGAUGAUCAGCAACACUGGGACUGAGACACGGCCCAGACUCCUACGGGAGGCAGCAGUGGGGAAUCUUAGACAAUGGGCGCAAGCCUGAUCUAGCCAUGCCGCGUGAGUGAAGAAGGCCUUAGGGUCGUAAAGCUCUUUCGCCAGGGAUGAUAAUGACAGUACCUGGUAAAGAAACCCCGGCUAACUCCGUGCCAGCAGCCGCGGUAAUACGGAGGGGGUUAGCGUUGUUCGGAAUUACUGGGCGUAAAGCGCACGUAGGCGGAUUAGAAAGUUAGAGGUGAAAUCCCAGGGCUCAACCCUGGAACUGCCUUUAAAACUCCUAGUCUUGAGUUCGAGAGAGGUGAGUGGAAUUCCAAGUGUAGAGGUGAAAUUCGUAGAUAUUUGGAGGAACACCAGUGGCGAAGGCGGCUCACUGGCUCGAUACUGACGCUGAGGUGCGAAAGUGUGGGGAGCAAACAGGAUUAGAUACCCUGGUAGUCCACACCGUAAACGAUGAAUGCCAGUCGUCGGGUAGUAUACUAUUAGGUGACACACCUAACGGAGUAAGCAUUCCCCAUGGUGAGUACGGUCGCAAGAUUAAAAGUCAAAGGAAUUGACGGGGGCCCGCACAAGCGGUGGAGCAUGUGGUUUAAUCCGAAGCAACCCGCAGAACCUUACCAACCCUUGACAUAUUGAUUGUCGCUCCAGAGAUGGAGCUUUCAGGUAGGCUGGACGAGAUACAGGUGCGGCAUGGCUGUUGUCAGGUUAAGUCGUGAGAUGUUCGGUUAAGUCCGGCAACGAGCGCGACCCACAUCCCUAGUUGCCAGCAGGUUAAGCUGGGCACAAUAUGGAAACUGCCCGUGAUAAGCGGGAGGAAGGUGUGGAUGACGUCAAGUCCUCAUGGCCCUUACGGGUUGGGCUACACACGUGGUACAAUGGCAGUGGAGAUGGGUUAAUUCCCAAAAAAUGUUUCAGUUUCGAGAGGGGUGUGCAACUCUACCCCACGAAAUCUGAAUAGCUAGUAAUAUCGUAACAGCAAGACGCGGGGAAUACGUUUCCGGGCCCUGUACACACCCCCCGUCACACCAUGGGAGUUGGUUCUACCCCACGACGCUGCGCUAACCCUUUGGGGAGGCAGGCCGCCACGGUAGGAUCAGCGACUGGGGUGAAGUCGUAACAAGGUAACC